AAUGAACGCUGGCGGCGUGCUUAACACAUGCAAGUCGAACGGUGAACACGGAGCUUGCUCUGUGGGAUCAGUGGCGAACGGGUGAGUAACACGUGAGCAACCUGCCCCUGACUCUGGGAUAAGCGCUGGAAACAGCGUCUAAUACUGGAUACGAGUAGCGGCCGCAUGGUCAGUUACUGGAAAGAUUUUUUGGUUGGGGAUGGGCUCGCGGCCUAUCAGCUUGUUGGUGAGGUAAUGGCUCACCAAGGCGUCGACGGGUAGCCGGCCUGAGAGGGUGACCGGCCACACCGGGACUGAGACACGGCCCAGACUCCUACGGGAGGCAGCAGUGGGGAAUAUUGCACAAUGGGCGAAAGCCUGAUGCAGCAACGCCGCGUGAGGGAUGACGGCCUUCGGGUUGUAAACCUCUUUUAGCAGGGAAGAAGCGAAAGUGACGGUACCUGCAGAAAAAGCGCCGGCUAACUACGUGCCAGCAGCCGCAGUAA
rnacentral:rRNA from 1 species